rnacentral:tRNA from 3 species
CGGUUAGCUCAGUGGUAGAGCGCCUGCCUUACAAGCAGGUGGUCACAGGUUCGAAUCCUGUACCGC